GUUGUCUAUGAUGUUUUACCCAUAUUAUUCGAGUUUCAAUGACCAUGAGACCACUUACAUGCACUACCAUCUGAGACAUC